CUCCAGCUACCCCAUUUUCCAAUCCCCCUCGGCGGGUGGCCGUCGGGUUUUAAAUUCAAAGUAAUGGACCCACCCCCCCCCCCCCGCCCCAAAUUCCCCACUCUACCUUAGUACUGGCUCAGGACGAACGCUGGCGGCGUGCCUAAUACAUGCAAGUCGAGCGAAUUUGAGGGAGCUUGCUCCCAAAGAUUAGCGGCGGACGGGUGAGUAACACGUGGGCAACCUGCCUGUAAGACUGGGAUAACUUCGGGAAACCGGAGCUAAUACCGGAUAAUCCCUUUCCUCACAUGAGGAAAGGCUGAAAGACGGCGUCUAGCUGUCACUUACAGAUGGGCCCGCGGCGCAUUAGCUAGUUGGUGAGGUAACGGUUCACCGCAAGAUGGGUAGCCGACGAGAGGGUGAUCGGCCACACUGGGACUGAGACACGGCCCAGACUCCUACGGGAGGCAGCAGUAGGGAAUCUUCCGCAAUGGACGAAAGUCUGACGGAGCAACGCCGCGUGAGUGAUGAAGGUUUUCGGAUCGUAAAACUCUGUUGUUAGGGAAGAACAAGUAUCGGAGUAACUGCCGGUACCUUGACGGUACCUAACCAGAAAGCCACGGCUAACUACGUGCCAGCAGCCGCGGUAAUACGUAGGUGGCAAGCGUUGUCCGGAAUUAUUGGGCGUAAAGCGCGCGCAGGUGGUUCCUUAAGUCUGAUGUGAAAGCCCACGGCUCAACCGUGGAGGGUCAUUGGAAACUGGGGAACUUGAGUGCAGAAGAGGAAAGUGGAAUUCCAAGUGUAGCGGUGAAAUGCGUAGAGAUUUGGAGGAACACCAGUGGCGAAGGCGACUUUCUGGUCUGUAACUGACACUGAGGCGCGAAAGCGUGGGGAGCGAACAGGAUUAGAUACCCUGGUAGUCCACGCCGUAAACGAUGAGUGCUAAGUGUUAGAGGGUUUCCGCCCUUUAGUGCUGCAGCAAACGCAUUAAGCACUCCGCCUGGGGAGUACGACCGCAAGGUUGAAACUCAAAGGAAUUGACGGGGGCCCGCACAAGCGGUGGAGCAUGUGGUUUAAUUGAAGCAACGCGAAGAACCUUACCAGGUCUUGACAUCCUCUGACAAUCCUAGAGAUAGGACGUUCCCCUUCGGGGGACAGAGUGACAGGUGGUGCAUGGUUGUCGUCAGCUCGUGUCGUGAGAUGUUGGGUUAAGUCCCGCAACGAGCGCAACCCUUGAUCUUAGUUGCCAGCAUUCAGUUGGGCACUCUAAGGUGACUGCCGGUGACAAACCGGAGGAAGGUGGGGAUGACGUCAAAUCAUCAUGCCCCUUAUGACCUGGGCUACACACGUGCUACAAUGGAUGGUACAAAGGGCUGCAAGACCGCGAGGUUUAGCCAAUCCCAUAAAACCAUUCUCAGUUCGGAUUGCAGGCUGCAACUCGCCUGCAUGAAGCCGGAAUCGCUAGUAAUCGCGGAUCAGCAUGCCGCGGUGAAUACGUUCCCGGGCCUUGUACACACCGCCCGUCACACCACGAGAGUUUGUAACACCCGAAGUCGGUGGGGUAACCUUUUGGAGCCAGCCGCCUAAGGUGGGACAGAUGAUUGGGGUGAAGUCGUA
rnacentral:rRNA from 1 species